AUACGGAGGAUGCGAGCGUUAUCCGGAUUUAUUGGGUUUAAAGGGUGCGUAGGCUGUGCGUUAAGUCAGGGGUGAAAUGCCGUCGCUCAACGACGGAGCUGCCCUUGAUACUGGCGUGCUGGAGUACGGAUGCCGUUGGAGGAAUGAGUGGUGUAGCGGUGAAAUGCUUAGAUAUCACUCAGAACACCGAUUGCGAAGGCAUCUGGCGAAUCCGGCACUGACGCGGAGGCACGAAAGCGUGGGGAUAGAACAGGAUUAGAUACCCUGGUAUUCCACGCCGUAAACGAUGAUUACUAACCGUGGGCGAUAGACAGCCGGUGGCCAAGCGAAAGCGAUAAGUCAUCCACCUGGGGAGUACGUCGGCAACGAUGAAACUCAAAGGAAUUGGCGGGG
rnacentral:rRNA from 1 species